rnacentral:miRNA from 1 species
AUUAGGUUGGUGCAAAAGUAAUCACAGUUUUGCCAUUUCUUUCAAUGGCAAAAACCGCGAUUACUUU